UCAUAUAACUGAGGUGCUAGGGUUAUCGCUGACCCUUCGAAGGGUCGUGCACGCCCAAGUGCUCUCUCUCAAUCCAUCUCACCCCUUUGUGCAUCACUGUGUGGGCCACCUUUUUGGCUUGUUUCAAAGAGGUUGGUUCGUGUUUUUACACACGCCUUUAUGUAUAGAAUGUCUUACUUUUUGCGGUCACACGCAAUAAAUAAAUA
rnacentral:misc_RNA from 1 species